UGCAAGUCAACUUGACUGAAGGAGCAAUCUGACAGUAGAGUGGCGCAAGGGUGCGUAACGCGUAAGUAACUUGCCCAAGGUAAGGAAUAACGUCGAGAAAUCGGCGCUAAUACCUCAUAAUGCAGCGGAUCCGCAUGGAUAUGUUGUUAAGGUUUACCGCCUUGGGAUAGGCUUGCGUCUGAUUAGCUAGUUGGUGUGGUAACGGCACACCAAGGCUACGAUCAGUAACUGGUCUGAGAGGAUGAUCAGUCACACUGGAACUGAGACACGGUCCAGACUCCUACGGGAGGCAGCAGUGAGGAAUAUUGGGCAAUGCUCGAAAGAGUGACCCAGCAACGCCGCGUGGAGGAUGAAGGUAUUCUAUAUCGUAAACUCCUGUGAGAGCAGACGAAAGACAGAUCAUUAAUCUGGAUGACUGUAUGCUCAGAGGAAGCCCCGGCUAACUACGUG
rnacentral:rRNA from 1 species